GCUAAGGUCCCAAAGUACGUGUUAAGUGGAAAAGGAUGUGGGAUUUCGAAGACAACUAGGAUGUUGGCUCAGAAGCAGCCACACAUUCAAAGAGUGCGUAAUAGCUCACUAGUCGAGAGGUCCUGCGCCGAAAAUGUCCGGGGCUGAAACACGACACCGAAGCUUAGGAAUCACAUAGUGAUUGGUAGAGGAGCAUUCUUAAAACCGACGAAGCUGUACCGGAAGGAGCAGUGGAGGGAUAAGAAGAGAGAAUGCCGGAAUGAGUAGCGAGAGAGAGGUGGGAAUCCUCUCGGCCGAAUAUCCAAGGUUUCCAGGGUAAAGCUGAUCUGCCCUGGGUAAGUCGGGGCCUAAGGAGAGGCAGAAAUGCGUAUCCGAUGGACAGCAGGUUGAGAUUCCUGCACUAUCUUAAAACAGAACUGUGGGGACAUUUGUGGAGAGCACAGGCGCGGAACGGAAAGCCGCGUGCAAGCGAAGGAGGAGUCACAUAGGAAAAACCGUGUGGCAAUCCAAAGGCGUGAUGCGGACCGAACUAAAGUAGGGAAGUGUGUGAGCCAUGAAUCAAGAAAAGCCGCUAUUGUUUUUAAGAUACCCGUACCGUAAACCGACACAGGUGGAUGAGGAGAGAAUCCUAAGGCCGGCGGAAGAAGCAUUGUUAAGGAACUCGGCAAAAUGACCCCGUAACUUCGGGAGAAGGGGUGCCACAGAAAUGUGGCCGCAGAGAAUAGGCUCAAGCAACUGUUUAGCAAAAACACAGGUCUAUGCAAAACCGAAAGGUGAGGUAUAUGGGCUGACGCCUGCCCGGUGCUGGAAGGUUAAGAGGAGAGGUUAGCGCAAGCGAAGCUUUGAAUUUAAGCCCCAGUAAACGGCGGCCGUAACUAUAACGGUCCUAAGGUAGCGAAAUUCCUUGUCGGGUAAGUUCCGACCCGCACGAAAGGCGUAAUGAUUUGAGCGCUGUCUCGACAAUGCAUCCGGUGAAAUUGAAGUACCAGUGAAGAUGCUGGUUACCCGCGCCAGGACGGAAAGACCCCAUGGAGCUUUACUCCAGUUUGGUACUGGGGUCCGGCAGUGCAUGUACAGGAUAGGUGGGAGGCUGUGAACCUGGAACGCCAGUUUCAGGGGAGCCAUUGUUGGGAUACCACCCUUGUGCUGCUGGGCUUCUAACCAGCGGCCUUUAUCAGGCCGGGGGACAAUGCCAGACGGGGAGUUUGACUGGGGCGGUCGCCUCCGAAAGGGUAUCGGAGGCGCUCAAAGGU
rnacentral:rRNA from 1 species